rnacentral:tRNA from 1 species
GUCAGUUUGGCCGAGUGGUUAAGGCGACAGACUAGAAAUCUGUUGGGCGCUGCCCGAAGAGGUUCAAAUCCUGUAGCUGACG